rnacentral:rRNA from 1 species
GACGUAGGUGGCAAGCGUUACUCGGAAUUACUAGGCGUAAAGCGCGCGUAGGCGGAAUGUUAAGUCUGUUGUGUAAUCUCUGGGCUCAACCCAGAAACUGCAACAGAAACUGGCGUUCUUGAGUGAGGCAGAGGAAAUCGGAAUUCCUAGUGUAGCAGUGAAAUGCGUAGAUAUUAGGAGGAACACCGGUGGCGAAAGCGGAUUUCUGGGCCUUUACUGACGCUCAAGUGCGAAAGCUAGGGGAGCAAAC